rnacentral:misc_RNA from 1 species
UUGUCUUCAUUGUGAGUGGACGAGGGAGGGACAGCUUAAGCAAGUGGUUUCGCCCAUGCAAGAAGCUUGGAAUUGCAGCAGAACAUGGAUAUUUUUUGAGGCAGUCGCAAAAUGAGGAGUGGAAGAUCUGCGGCCAAAGUUCUGAUUUUGGAUGGAUGCAGAUUGCCGAACCUGUUAUGAAAUUGUAUACCGAGGCUACAGAUGGUUCUUCUAUUGAAAGAAAGGAAAGUGCUUUGGUCUGGCAGUAUCGAGAUGCAGAUCCUGGUUUCGGAUCAUCCCAGGCAAAGGAAA